GACGUAGGGCGCGAGCGUUGUCCGGAUUUAUUGGGCGUAAAGAGCUCGUAGGCGGCUUGUCGCGUCGUCCGUGAAAACCCACAGCUCAACUGUGGGCUUGCGGUCGAUACGGGCAGGCUAGAGUUCGGUAGGGGGAGACUGGAAUUCCUGGUGUAGCGGUGAAAUGCGCAGAUAUCAGGGAGGGAACACCGGUGGGCGAAAGGCGGGGUCUC
rnacentral:rRNA from 1 species